CCUUUUCCAGAUUUCUUGGAGCUGUAAAAAUAAAAAUAAAUCAGAUAACAUUAAUGCUCUGGGUGGGGGUGAGGAAAAGGUAAAUAAGGGUAAGGAGGGAUAAGUAACUAAGUAAGUUACUAAAAGAUGAGGGUAAGGGUAAGACUUAUACUCUCUUACCUCAUCCCAAUUUUUCUUAUGUAAGCAAGGGAGAGAGGGGAGAGAGAGGAGAUGAAAACUGAAAAUUACUUUAUUUUUUAUU
rnacentral:misc_RNA from 1 species